UGGGGGAUUUUGCACAAUGGGCGCAAGCCUGAUGCAGCGACGCCGCGUGAGGGAUGAAGGCCUUCGGGUUGUAAACCUCUUUCGCUGGGUUGAAUGGCCAUGCUUUGGGUGUGGUUGAUUUGAACUGGUAAAGAAGUACCGGCUAACUACGUGCCAGCAGCCGCGGUAAUACGUAGGGUACUAGCGUUGUCCGGAUUUAUUGGGCGUAAAGGGCUUGUAGGUGGUUUGUCGCGUCUGUCGUGAAAUCCUGUGGCUUAACCAUGGGCUUGCGGUGGGUACGGGCAGGCUUGAGUGCGGUAGGGGAGACUGGAAUUCCUGGUGUAGCGGUGGAAUGCGCAGAUAUCAGGAGGAACACCGGUGGCGAAGGCGGGUCUCUGGGCCGUUACUGACACUGAGGAGCGAAAGCGUGGGGAGCGAACAGG
rnacentral:rRNA from 1 species